UAGCUAGUUGGUGAGGUAAAGGCUUACCAAGGCGACGAUCUGUAGCGGGUCUGAGAGGAUGAUCCGCCACACUGGAACUGAGACACGGUCCAGACUCCUACGGGAGGCAGCAGUGGGGAAUUUUGGACAAUGGGGGCAACCCUGAUCCAGCCAUGCCGCGUGAGUGAAGAAGGCCUUCGGGUUGUAAAGCUCUUUCGGCCGGGAAGAAAUCGCAUGGGCCAAUACCCUGUGUGGAUGACGGUACCGGAAUAAGAAGCACCGGCUAACUACGUGCCAGCAGCCGCGGUAAUACGUAGGGUGCGAGCGUUAAUCGGAAUUACUGGGCGUAAAGCGUGCGCAGGCGGUUUUGUAAGACAGGCGUGAAAUCCCCGGGCUUAACCUGGGAACUGCGUUUGUGACUGCAAGGCUAGAGUACGGCAGAGGGGGGUGGAAUUCCACGUGUAGCAGUGAAAUGCGUAGAGAUGUGGAGGAACACCAAUGGCGAAGGCAGCCCCCCUGGGUCGAUACUGACGCUCAUGCACGAAAGCGUGGGUAGCAAACAGGAUUAGAUACCCUGGUAGUCCACGCCCUAAACUAUGUCAACUAGGUGUUGGGUGGGUAAAACCAUUUAGUACCGUAGCUAACGCGUGAAGUUGACCGCCUGGGGAGUACGGCCGCAAGGUUAAAACUCAAAGGAAUUGACGGGGACCCGCACAAGCGGUGGAUGAUGUGGAUUAAUUCGAUGCAACGCGAAAAACCUUACCUACCCUUGACAUGCCAGGAACUUGCCAGAGAUGGCUUGGUGCCCGAAGGGGAGCCUGGACACAGGUGCUGCAUGGCCGUCGUCAGCUCGUGUCGUGAGAUGUUGGGUUAAGUCCCGCAACGAGCGCAACCCUUGUCGUUAAUUGCCAUCAUUUAGUUGGGCACUCUAACGAGACUGCCGGUGACAAACCGGAGGAAGGUGGGGAUGACGUCAAGUCCUCAUGGCCCUUAUGGGUAGGGCUUCACACGUCAUACAAUGGUCGGUACAAAGGGUUGCCAAGCCGCGAGGCGGAGCCAAUCCCAGAAAGCCGAUCGUAGUCCGGAUUGCAGGCUGCAACUCGCCUGCAUGAAGUCGGAAUCGCUAGUAAUCGUGGAUCAGCAUGUCACGGUGAAUACGUUCCCGGGUCUUGUACACACCGCCCGUCACACCAUGGGAGCGGGUUCCGCCAGAAGUAGGUAGCCUAACCGCAAGGGGGGCGCUUACCACGGCGGGGUUCGUGACUGGGGUGAAGUCGUAACAAGGUAGCCGUAGGGGAACCUGCGGCUG
rnacentral:rRNA from 1 species